CAACGCUAGCACCGUACACUUGAUUGUGCACAAUUAGCUCGUGAAAGCGCGUAAUCAACUCUUUACGCCACUGACAAGGUUUCAUCCGGGAAAAAGAAUUUGGACUGCGAACAUACCGCGGUGAUUUCGGACGCUCGUGCACGUUGUCAACAUUUCUAUGAUCGGCCGGUACAGGCGGAAUCGCCGUAGCUUUACCCCCACAAACUUGACUGGAUCCUGUAGCUGUACGACUGACAUCCGGACUAUCGGGUUUCACAUCACGCACAGGCAACUGUUUUACCGCACCCCCACAAACUUGACUGCUCAAUAUUCUUAUUCUUUUGUGGGUGGACACUACCCCCACAAACUUGACUGCUACUGAAUGAACAAUUCUUUUUAGCAGGAGACGUUUCUACAUUAGAAGCAGGA